GGAAUAUUGGACAAUGGGCGAAAGCCUGAUCCAGCGACGCCGCGUGGGUGAAGAAGGCCUGCGGGUUGUAAAGCCCUUUCGUUAGGGAAGAAAAGCCUCGACCUAACACGUCGGGGUAUUGACGUAACCUACUAAAGAAGCACCGGCUAACUCUGUGCCAGCAGCCGCGGUAAUACAGAGGGUGCGAGCGUUAAUCGGAAUUACUGGGCGUAAAGCGCGCGUAGGCGGCUUUGCAAGUCGGGUGUGAAAUCCCCAGGCUUAACCUGGGAACUGCACUCGAGACUGCAUUGCUAGAGUAUGGGAGAGGGAAGUGGAAUUUCCGGUGUAGCGGUGAAAUGCGUAGAUAUCGGAAGGAACAUCAGUGGCGAAAGCGACUUCCUGGACCAAUACUGACGCUCAUGUGCGAAAGCGUGGGGAGCAAA
rnacentral:rRNA from 1 species